UUGCCGUUCGAAUGCAAGGGUUGCGCCGUGGGCUGCCAUUUUCAGAAGGUCUGUAAAGGCUCCUCGUGUCGCCGGUGCAUAACCAUGGGCAGGGCAGGGCGUAGUGAUGGUGUCUGUGGCUCAAGGCUGUAAUCCCAGCACUUCCAAGACCCCGAGGAUAAAUCAGAAUCAUCCUGGGCUCCAUAGCAAAUCUGAGGUCAAAUGUGGACUACAGGAGACCUGUCUGGGAAAAAAAAGCCCUGUUCAUAUUUGCCCCACUGCAACUAACCCUAUUGUUUACCAUUGUUUUGUUGUUGUUGCUGUUUUCCAGUGCUAAGGAUACAAACUGAUUUUGUAUUCUUCCAAUCCCUAACCUUUGAAGAAUAAAAUCAAAUAUCUAUGUAAGUCUUGACUGAUGCAUUGUUUUUAACAUGCUAAUUAAAGACCACAUGAGGUCACACCUUUUAUCGCUGCAUUCCAGCACAGCCAGAACUAGACUUUGUCUCUAAAAACCAAAUAAAAAUAAAACAAGUAUGCUAAAA